AGAGUUUGAUCCUGGCUCAGGAUGAACGCUAGCGGCAGGCCUAAUACAUGCAAGUCGAACGCUCAGUAGCAAUACUGGGAGUGGCGCACGGGUGCGUAACGCGUACACAAUCUACCUCUAAGCGGGGGACACCUCCUGGAAACGGGGAUUAAUACCGCAUAAUAUGCCGAAGUCGCAUGACUUUGGUAUUAAAGCAGCAAUGCACUUAGAGAUGAGUGUGCGUCCCAUUAGGUAGUUGGUGAGGUAACGGCUCACCAAGCCUAUGAUGGGUAGCCGGUCUGAGAGGAUGGUCGGCCACACGGGCACUGAGACACGGGCCCGACUCCUACGGGAGGCAGCAGUAAGGAAUAUUGGUCAAUGGUGGAAACACUGAACCAGCCAUGCCGCGUGGAGGAAUAAGGUCCUACGGAUUGUAAACUCCUUUUGACGAGGAAGAAAAUGUUAGAUUUAUCUAAUUUUGACGGUACUCGUAGAAUAAGCACCGGUUAACUCCGUG
rnacentral:rRNA from 1 species